GACGAACGCUGGCGGCGCGCCUAACACAUGCAAGUCGAACGAGCGAGAGAGAGCUUGCUUUCUCGAGCGAGUGGCGAACGGGUGAGUAACGCGUGAGGAACCUGCCUUGGAGUGGGGAAUAACACAGUGAAAAUUGUGCUAAUACCGCAUAAUGCAGUUGGGCCGCAUGGCUCUGACUGCCAAAGAUUUAUCGCUCUGAGAUGGCCUCGCGUCUGAUUAGCUAGUUGGUGAGGUAACGGCCCACCAAGGCGACGAUCGGUAGCCGGACUGAGAGGUUGAACGGCCACAUUGGGACUGAGACACGGCCCAG
rnacentral:rRNA from 1 species